UAAAAUGACAACAUUUUUUGCUGGUUAGGUUGGUUAGACCGUUCGAAUUUUGAAAAAAGCAGAGAUGAGAUGGUGGACACGAGAGGAAGUUAAAUUUGGUUCAUAAUUAACAUUGGGCCCGCAAAAGUUUAAAAGUUAAAUUAUCUUUUUGAUUAACUUUCUCACAUAAACCAAAAUUACGGUUUUCUGACGACGGAGAAAUUGGCUACAGAGACACAGGCAAAAGGUCAUAAUGACGACGAAAAGGAAGCGGGCAGGGAAGGAGAUAGCCGAAGAGGAGACGCAACACGAGGAAGUGGUGAAUGUGACUGUUCCGACUGCCGGUGAGGAUACUAGCGACAGAAAUGUACCCUAGUAAGCGGCUGAACGUGUAUUCGACGACAUAUUACUUGUCGUCCGGGAUGUUUUGGACGGAAUGGAGGAGAUGCGUCGUUUACAAGCUUCUUGUUUUGGUCUGAUUGCUUUGACGAGAUUCAAUUUUGGUUAACGACGUCUUAACCGGAUCUCUCGGGCUUCUUCCAUUGGUUUGCAAUACCACAUAUACAGAUGCUUUUCACAGCUUCUAAGAUGUUGAAGUUG